rnacentral:RNase_P_RNA from 3 species
UAGACAGGCCGGGUCGCCGCUAGAAUAAUCUAGAGGAAAGUCCGGGCUCCGCAGGGGAGGAUGCCGGGUAAUUCCCGGGCGCCAACUUUUUGGCGACAGCCAGUGCCACAGAAAAUAUACCGCUUGGAAGAGAUUUCUUUUCGAGUAAGGGUGAAAAGGUGAAGUAAGAGCUCACCGGGCCACCUGGUAACAGAGGUCGCGAGGUAAACCUCAUCCGGAGCAAGAUUAAGCAGCAGGUGGAUUCCCCGCCCAAUACCUGCGGGUAGAUCGCUCAUUAUUGCGUCGGCGACGGCGAAGACAGAUAUAUGGCGACCGUAAACAGAACUCGGCUUACCGGCCUGUCUUUUUU